rfam:Aedes albopictus isolate Foshan contig20375, whole genome shotgun sequence.
UGCCUGGCAACUCCUAUCCCUACCUCCGCGUGGUAUCGGCAGGAAACUAUGAGCAACCUUAGGGAAGAUCGGGUAACCAACCCCGGUGUGAACUUUGGUCGUAGGCCGACAGGAAAGG